GUAGGUUCAGAUGACAAGCGCUCAACGCGCGUUGAACGCGCGUUGAAUUUUUGUAUAGUGUUCACAUGGUGCGCGCUUGUCAGGCGUUAAACGCGCGUUGUUGCGGCCAGUUUGAGUUCUACAUUUGUCGAAGAUGGACGUAGAAACAGUUUUAUCGGUGAUUUUAUACAAACGGCAGAAACGACACAACAGAAGACGGAGAUAUUGGGUUCACCCAAUUUUGUCAACCAGGCUGACUGAAAGUCAGUACAUUAUUUUAUAUCCUAAGUUAAGGCAAUUUGAGCCCAAAUUCUUUAACUACUUCAGAAUGUCCAUCAAGUCAUUUGAUGACUUACUGACUCUCAUAAACGAUGAACUCGUAGCAGAUAAAAACGCUGUGCAAUAUAGCAUUUCACCGGAAGAAAAACUCAUAAUUACAUUGAGGUAAGUUUUUUAAUAAUCAACAUAAUCUAUAAAUCAAAUAAAUCAAAUCAACUUGUUUAGGAACAAUUUUUUUAAAGAAAAAAUAACAUUUUGUUACUCGCAGAAUAACUCUAACUCUGAUUCAUUGCUGACAUUAGUUGGUGCUGGCGAUGGAGUAGGUGUUACUGGCGAUGGAGACCCCAUUGCUGUAGUAUAACCAUAAUGUGCAAAAUUAUUUGACACACUAGACUGCUGUGAUCUAUAAUCAUGAUAACGAAAGCCUUCAACAGAAGCUGAUGACUGAUGACGCUGCUCUUGUGAUGAAUAAUUUCUUCGUUGUGAUACCGGAUAUUUGGCCAUUGGAUGUUCAUUUGGGACAUUAAGCUACGACUAUAGAAUUGGAAAAUCUACUGUGGCUACUAUAAUACCACAUGUAUGUGAAACUAUUUGGAAAAAAUUAAGGCCCGUUGUUAUGAGUGAACCAACGAAAGAAAAGUGGUGUGAAAUAUCCACGAUAUUUGAAAAGAACUCAAAGUUUCCCAAUUGUUUGGGAGCCUUGGACGGGAAACAUAUACGGUUAAUCCAGCCUGAACACACGGGUUCUAUGUAUUAUAACUAUAAAAAUUAUUUUUCGCUAGUUUUAUUGGCGCUAGCGGAUGCAAACUAUUGUUUUGUGUGGGUUGACAUAGGUGCCUACGGUAAAAACAGUGACUCAGGUAUAUUCAAGAAUUCUUCAUUGUACAAAAAGCUGACAGAAAGGUCAUUAGAUCUACCUGAGCCAAAGGCAUUGUUAAUACAAAAUAGACCGACAACGUUGCCAUAUGUGAUAGUGGCUGAUGAGGCUUUUGGCAUGAUGGAGAAUUUAAUGCGUCCAUAUGGGGGAAGGUCACUAACUUAUGCUAAAAAAAUAUUUAAUUACCGUUUGACAUUAGCACGCCGGUGUUGAAUGUACUUUUGGCAUAAUGUGCAAUAAAUGGCGCAUUUUACACAGGCCGUUAGAUGUUAACAUCGGUUUUGCAGAAAAGAUCGUAAAAGCGAUAUGUACACUAAAUAAUUAUGUCAGAAUCAGGGAUGGCUAUAAUUUUGAAGACACACUUUAUACGCCACCCCUGGAAAAUCUAGCCUCACAUUAUACCGGACGUGCUGUGCGACAGGCGGAUAAUGUUCGAGUACAUUUAACAAACUAUUUCAUUAAUGAAGGAGAAGUAGAUUGGCAGGAUCGUUAUAUUUAACUUGUAACACAAACCGAUUGUAAAUGUAAAUAAAUAUAUAUACUCACAUAA
rnacentral:lncRNA from 1 species